rnacentral:tRNA from 1 species
CGGGGUAUAGCGCAGCCUGGUAGCGCACCUGCUUUGGGAGCAGGGGGUCGUGGGUUCGAAUCCCUCUGCCCCGACCA